rnacentral:tRNA from 1 species
UCCCUGGUAGCUCAACUGGUAAAGAAUCUGCCUGCAAUGCAGAAGACCCCGGUUUGAUUCCUGGAUUGGGAA